AAUAAAACCAAAACGAUUUUUCCUAGUGAUUUCAAACUUCUGUAGCUUAUUGUAUCUUCGAGAUCUCGUGAACCAAACAUUCGAAAAUCGCAAGAAACAAACACUCAAAAAUCUUGUACCCGGUAAAACAUGUCGGGAGGAGAUAUGGCUCUUUGAGGACUGCAAUUGAUCGAGAAUGUGAUCAGGAAUUGACUGCCUAUGCGAAUGCGGUUCGAGCAAUAGCUUUGAUUGCAAAUUAGACGGACUUUAUAAUAUCUUAAGGUGCUUGGCGAUAUUGGUCGUCUAAAGACAUAUAGGUUUAGAAAUGGUUUGAUCUAUGGUUUCCAGAAGAUUUAAGAGUUUUGCGACACUAAUUAUCCUGCACCAGAACCAGAUUCAACAGUUGAUUAUGUACGGUAACAGAUGUAUUUUGACCACUCCAAUAUGUUUUGGUCCGGCGUACACAUUUCUAGAUGUAAUCAAAAUUAAGUUCAUCGUGUGUCCGAGUUUUGAAGAUUGUUCCAUACAUUAAUGUAUUAGGUAUGAACAUGUGAAUUUUGAUUACAACCAAAAAUAUAAGCGAUAGUUUUGUUUGAUUAGAAAACUACUAAUUCGUAGUUCGAUGUUUUCACUUGAAGAUACCCCAAAGAUGCAAACACAAUUCAGUAUCUGUAGUUAAGUCAGGGCGCAAUAUAAUAAGUCGAUUAAUGUUUUCGUCUUGUAAAAUUUUUCAUAUUCGAACGCCUCUUUA